rnacentral:rRNA from 1 species
CAGUCGCCACGGUAAUACGUAGGUGGCAAGCGUUGUCCGGAAUUAUUGGGCGUAAAGGGCUCGCAGGCGGUUUCUUAAGUCUGAUGUGAAAGCCCCCGGCUCAACCGGGGAGGGUCAUUGGAAACUGGGAAACUUGAGUGCAGAAGAGGAGAGUGGAAUUCCACGUGUAGCGGUGAAAUGCGUAGAGAUGUGGAGGAACACCAGUGGCGAAGGCGACUCUCUGGUCUGUAACUGACACUGAGGAGCGAAAGCGUGGGGAGCGAACAGGAUUAGAUACCCCGGUAGUCCCUGUCUCUUAUAC